CCUUUCGGGGAUGAAGGGUUUAUGACUGAGUGGCGGACGGGUGAGUAACGCGUGGGCAACCUGCCCCGUACCGGGGGACAACAGCCGGAAACGGCUGCUAAUACCGUAUACGUUUUAAGGACCGCAUGGUCCGUAAAACAAAACUCCGGUGGUACGGGAUGGGCCCGCGUCUGAUUAGCUCGUUGGCGGGGUAACGGCCCACCAAGGCGACGAUCAGUAGCCGGCCUGAGAGGGCGGCCGGCCACAUUGGGACUGAGACACGGCCCAGACUCCUACGGGAGGCAGCAG
rnacentral:rRNA from 1 species